CCGAUGCCGACAUGUUUGCAAAGUCAGGUGAAUAGCGCAGCUGUUACAACCGUCAGGUGAUUAAGACACGAUAAUCAUCAUAGUUGUGUGGCAUGCGGUCCGUCCAGCCCGCGCAGAUCCGCAUCAAGCGGAGAGACAAAAGCUGCCGACGCAGCACCAGCGACAUCUCUAUGGCUCAUCUUACCUCCGUCUGCACCAUGGCUGGUCUUUGUGUCCGCAGCAUUUUGACAGUUUGGAAGAUGUCCACUGCUCCCUCAUAGCGCAUCCUCUCCAGGACAAUACUCAGAGUGAUGAAGACACCUGUCCGCCCCACGCCAGCGCUGCAGGCAUGUCAGCACAGUCGACAGAGAGUGUAAGGUUACAUUAAAGCCUGGCUUUAAUGUAAGGGGCAUACACAUGAAAGCAGCUUGUCACCUGCAGUGAACUGUGAUUGGUCCAUCCUGGCCAAACUGCUCCUUAGUCUUAUGAACUUGGCCGAUGAAGUCGAUGAAGCCCUCCCCGGAUUUUGGCACCCCUUGCUCUGGCCAAUCGGUGAAUUGGAACUGACGCACCGUCCUCGACUGGCCGUCCUAAACCGAGAGCCACGGUAGAAAUGAGGUCACAUAAUGUAAAAGCUUAAAUUUAAAUUGGUUGUUUUGUCAACAUGUAUAUGACAUUUUUAGAUUUAAAUGACUAUUUACAAGACUUCUUCUAGUGUAUUAAAUGAAAGGACCAUUUUUCUUCUGCUGCUAACGAUUGGUGUUAUCCGACCCCGGAUCACUGGCUGUGGUUAACUUAGAGUUGUAACGUCAGUACAUCUGCUACUGUCAGCCACUCUGAAGGCAAUUACAUCUUUUCUCUUCUGCUCAGCCUUUCUGACUCCUCUUUAAUGGAGAUCAAUAAGGCAUCUGUCGAUGUGGCGUCACUGUGGGACAGGCUUAACUAGAGUUAUCUAUGACUGGCACAUGGAUGUGCUGGUGUGUGUGCGCACAGCUGCACAUGCGUGUCGUGACAAUCUGGAGACGGCACGGCUGAAUGAAGAGCCUAUUUGUCAAACGUGGCAAUCUGUGGCGACACCCUACAGGUCAAUAAGGGCCGCUUUGCAUCGCUGGCCUCUAAAGACAGGAAAGGAAAAGUCUUGUGUUUCCGAAAGCAAGGAUGGCUGUUGACAGACAGAUGGCGGGAACUCACCCUAGCAUCUGUAACUUUGAACUCUCUGAGGAUGUACUGAGGCAUGUUGUACUCCGCCAUCGGGUCGACGACAAAGUACUGGUACCUGGCUGAGCGCUCGGCAGGCCAGUACUGGUGACACUUUUCCUGAGGAGCAAAACCCAAUCAGAAAAUUCGAUUUGGUGGGACACUUUCCAUGACCAUUGUUCUGUCCUACCCGUCCCAUUUCUCUCAGCUUGGUCAGCAUGACCACGAUGGUGGAGUUGUGCUCCCACAGCAUCCUCCAGAAGUCCUCCGUGGUCUCGGCCAGAGGACCCUGGGUGGCGAUGUAGCCUCGCUGUUGCCUGGACACAUAAAACAGACAGGAUUCAGCUCCUUCCUUCCUUCAUCUUUAAUCGGAAAACAGGGUCAGGCUCGAGGCAAGAACAGGAACAGUCAAAACACGUGGGUUCAACCACUGCGUGGAGCUGAAUCAUCAGAAAGUCCCCAGCAUCUUCAGUGAGACGAAGAGACACAAACGGAGCGACCGUGUACACAGGAAUGACGGAUCUGACGGCUCCAGCGGAGGAGACGGAUGAAACGAAGGAAAAGAGGACAGGGGGGUCAGGUCAGAUUAAUGUUUGCCGAAAAACAUACCUGUAUCCAUCUAUGUAACUGGAGUUGAUGUAGUCGGAGCCCUCCAGACCUCGGAUAGGCUGUAGGCAGACGCGGGUGGUUUCAUAGGGCAUUAUGUUCACCAGUCUGUUUUUGAAUUUGUUGCAGGGCAGGUUGGCUGUGACAAACCGGGAUGUGUGGGCUUUGGUGUUUGCCAGGCGCUGGAAUAGGAAAUAAAUGAGGACGUAACCAGAAAUGCAUCAUAUGUCUGAUAGAACUAUAAAAAAUAUGAAAAAGACGCCUCAUAAACAGAUGCAUGAGUGGACAUCACAUGAGUAAAGCAGCAAAAAAAUAUGUUUUUCUGACUUUUUUAAUGGUGUAAAAAUAGUUGUAUCCCUGUAAAAUAUUAAAAUUCAACACAUUAAAUAAUUGACAAAAAAUA